rnacentral:rRNA from 1 species
ACGAACGCUGGCAACAAACCUAAAACAUGCAAGUCAAACGCUCUAGCAAUAGAGAAUAACACACGAAUGCAUAGCACGUAAGAAUAUGCCUUUUGGUACGGAACAACGUCUGGAAACGGACGCUAAUACCGUAUGGUCCCUUCGGGGUAAAGAUUUAUCGCCAAAAGAGUAGCCCGCGCUGGAUUAGCUAGUUGGUGAGGUAAUGGCUCACCAAGGCGACGAUCCAUAGCUGGUCUGAGAGGACGAUCAGCCACACUGGGACUGAGACACGGCCCAGACUCCUACGGGAGGCAGCAGUUAGGAAUAUUGGACAAUGGGGGCAACCCUGAUCCAGCCAUGCCGCGUGAGUGAUGAAGGCCUUCGGGUUGUAAAGCUCUUUAGCCGAUGAUUAUAAUGACUGUAGUCGGAAAAUAAGCCCCGGCUAACUUCGU